GAUCAGGCGAAGGGACAAGGCCCCUCAGCGGCACCUCUACACUCCUGUGCAACCCCGCAAAAGCGAGGGGAGGGCCCUCACUCUGAGAAGAGGAGGGAUAUUAAGGAGGAAGAGCGGCGAGCUACGGUAGAAACAGAUAAAGAACGAACCACACCAAAGACCUAAAGAACCUCGUCUCAACAAAGACGGGGAGCUCCUACCAAACACCCCCGGUCUCUGAGAAAACUCUCGACAC
rnacentral:lncRNA from 1 species